AUGGAGCUGGUGGUGGGCGCUUCGGAGGCGACCAUGAGGUCCCUCCUGUCCAAGCUCGGCAGGCUUCUCUCCGACGAGUACACCCUGAUUAGGGGCGUCGGCGUUGACCUCCAGUACAUCAACGACGAGCUCACCACCAUGCAGUCUUUCCUCCGCGCCAACGACGGAACCCACGGCUGCCUGAUGAAGGACUGGAUGAAGCAGAUCCGCGACAUCACCUACGACAUUGAGGACUGUAUCGACGACUCCGGCAAGCGCAUCCGCGGCCUGCGCACCAGCAUGUGCUGCUACUGCCUCGUCAACGGCGUCUACGAGAUCCUCACGGCGGGGCCUCGCCGCGACAUUGCCACGAGGCUCUCUGCCCUCAAGAUGCGGGCGCAGGAGAUCAGCGAGCGGCGCGACAGGUAUGGGGUCGUCAACCCAGCCGAGGCCGGCGCCGGCGCCGCUAGAUUUGAUGUCGCCGACAACCAGGCCCCCGGCCGGCUUCAGCUUGUCACCACGAGGGAGCCCGUGGGAGUGGAGGAUCUCAUGAAGGAGCCCCACAAGCGGGUGACUUGCAUUGUUGGGUUCGGCGGCGUGGGGAAGACCGCCAUCGCCACCGCCUUGUACAGGACCUAUGGGGAGGAGUUCAGCCACCGUGCCAUGGUCACGGUGUCUCAGAGCACCGACCUGGAGGCCAUCCUCAGGAUCAUCAGGGAUCAAAUCAAGCCGCGCACCAGCAAUCACGAGCAGCAGGAUAGCUCGGAGAAGAAGAAGAGCCUCGUCAGACGCGGCUCGUCAGCCGUCAUGGAUGCCAUACGCUGCAGAUCCGGCAGCUCCGAGCAGAGACGUGAGAUUGAUGACCUCAAGGAUGACAUCCUGAAGCACUUGAAGAGAAACAGGUACUUGGUCUUAAUCGAUGACGUAUGGUCUGCAUUGUUGCUGGAUAGUAUUAUAAAUGCACUUCCAGUGGAAGAAAAAAGCAUAAUAAUAGUAACUACACGGUUUCACGAUGUUGCUACAGCACAAAGAGAAGCCGACACUCGUAAAGUUCAUCGCCUUGUUGAAGAAAAAUCUAAGAAGUUGUUUAUGCAGGCCUACAACGAAUCAACAUCUAAGCGCAAAGAAGAAUCAUCUACGCAAGCCACCUCUGAAACUGAAGGUCUGUUUCCAGAAGAAGUCUGGAAGAUUUGCGGGGGGCUACCAUUGGCCAUAAUUACCAUGGCUGGUCGUGUGGCCUGCAACCCAGGCAAGCUGCAUACGUAUUGGAGGGACGUUUGCAAAUCUAUAUUUCCAGAAGCAGCAGCGAAUGCUGUUGUGGAAGAGAUUACACAGCUUACACAGGAGCAAGUGAGCAGGAUCGUUAGCGAUUGCUACAAUGACAUGCCUGCUGAAAUCCAGACUUGCUCACUGUAUCUGAGCAUAUUUCCCAAGGGCUACAGAAUCAGCAGGAAGCGCUUGACGCGGCGAUGGAUAGCCGAAGGUAUCAUCUGUGAGAAAGACGGGUUGGGUGUUGAUGUUAUUGCAGAGACAUAUUUCAAUCAUCUCAUAAGGAGGAAGAUCAUCCAACCAGUUGAGCACAAUGGUAAUGGAAAGGUGAAGAAAUGUGUAGUUCACGACAUGGUUCUUGAGCUCAUUGUGAGAAAGGCAAGCGAAGAGAAUUUCAUCACUGUGGUUGGUGGUAACUGGUUCAUGCAGCUGCCUAGCACCAAGGUCCGACGACUGUCCAUCCAAGACAGUGAUUCCAAACAUGCCAAGGAUACAGAGAAGAUGAACUUGUCUCAUGUUAGGUCACUGACCAUCUUUGGGAGCUUGAAGAAACAACUCCCUCCUCAUUCCUUUAAAUUUGGAAUUGUACAGGUCCUGGAUCUUGAAGGCUGCAAGGAUUUCAAACAGCGCCAUAUAACUGAGAUAUGCGAGAUGUGUCUUCUCAAGUAUCUUAGCCUCAGAAAAACAGACACUAAACAACUUCCUGAUAACAUUAGGAAGCUUAAGAGCCUUGAGACACUGGACAUAAGGGACACAGAAGUUAUUGAGUUGCCUAAAGCUGUAUGCCAGCUUGAAUUGUUGGUUAACAUACUUGGCGGGGAUAAAUCAACACGGAAGGCAUUAAGGCUUCCUGGAGAGAUGACGAAGAAAAUGAAGGCACUGCAGAUAUUGUCAGGGAUUGAGAUUGUUGAGGGGUCAUCAGAACUUCGUCAUUUGACCAAACUUAAGAAGCUUGCCAUCUACAAGCUCGAAACCAUGUUGAAGGAUGGGAGUUUAGAGGCGUUAAGGACCUCUAUCGAGUACCUUGGUGGCUGCUCUCUACAAACCCUCAUAAUUGACGACGAGUCAUCAAAUUUUGUCAAAUCACUGGAUGGUUUGUCAUCCCCUCCAAGAUUCCUUGUUGCUCUCGAACUAUCUGGCAAGAUGAUUAAUCUCCCCAAGUGGAUAAAAGAACUUGAUGUCCUCAGCAAGUUAACGCUACCAUUAACAGCCCUCCGAACAGAUAACUUGCAGGACCUCAGUAAACUGAAGGCAUUGUUUUCUCUCACCUUUUGUUUUAGGGCCAAACAGCAGGACUGGCAAACACUGGCCAUUAUCGCGGAAAACAAGCUGUACUCCAGCGGGGAGAUCAUGGUGCUGGAUGGCGGAUUCAAGAGCUUAAAGCUUCUCUGCCUCUCUGGUCCUUUGUUGCCACUACUGAGCUUUUCAAGUAAGGCCAUGCCAGAGCUGGAAAGGCUUGAGAUUCGAUACAGCAUGCUGGAGGGCAUUCUUGGCGCAGAAAACCUUGCAAAGCUGAAAGAGUUGCAUUUGACAUCAAACGACAAAAAGGAGGAAGAUUUGAUGACCAAGGAGAUAGCAAGCGAGCUGGGUAAGUUGAGGAAGGUUGACGGAACAUCGCCUAGGAUAAUCUUGCAUCAACAACCGAUUGGUAUGAGGUCAAACUCUGGGUGA
rnacentral:rRNA from 1 species